rnacentral:rRNA from 1 species
GGAUUCCCCUAGUAACGGCGAGUGAAGCGGAACAGCUCAAAUUUGUAAUCUGGUCACUUUGUGUCCGAGUUGUAACUAGAGAAGUGUUAUCUGUAUUGGACCACUUAUGAGUCUAUUGGAAUAUAGCGUCAUAGAGGGUGAGAAUCCCGUUCAUGAUGUGGACUACCAGUACUUUGUGUUACAUCUUCAAAGAGUCGAGUUGUUUGGGAAUGCAGCUCAAAUUGGGUGGUAAAUUCCAUCUAAAGCUAAAUAUUGGCGGGAGACCGAUAGCGAACAAGUACCGUGAGGAAAGAUGAAAAGCACUUUGGAAAGAGAGUCAAAUAGUACGUGAAAUUGUUGAAAGGGAAACACUUGAAGUCAGACAUGCUUGUGGGGUUCAGCCUUUGGGUGUAUUCCUCCACUUUGCAGGCUAGCAUCAGUUUUGUGGGCUGGAAAAGGGCUUGAGGAAGGUGGCAUCUUCGGGUGUGUUAUAGCCUCUUGCUUGAUACAGCCUGGGAGACUGAGGAUCGCAGCGCACCUCGCGGCAUUGCCUUUGGCCUUUUUGCGCUUAGGAUGCU